UUUGUGUGUCAAACCAAGGAGUUUUAAUGGACAAUCCUACCUCCUUGUUCAAACAGAACUUCGCUUGGCCCUAAAUGUUGACCUGGCCUAGAUGGCCUGGAUUAAUAACUGUAUGAACUUUGAACUCUAAAUCUAUAGAUCUGAGAGUGUGAUAGAUGACAAUGCCGUGCAGGCAAAGCAGAGUGUAGGCAUACACACGUUGGUAGUAUAAAUAUAGGCUGCUUCAUCUCAUGUGUGCGUGUUGUAAACAGCAUCGUGGUUAGAAUGAGAUUUGUAAGCUAAUCUGAAAAGACACAGAAUUACUCAAAAUUAACUUGUCUUGAGACUUGACAUAAACAUGGCAGCACAAACUACAGUCCAGCAUGAGCAAGGAGCCGAAGAUCCUGCCGUUACCAACUUUAGACGAUACCUUCGCAUCAAGACUGUGGAACCUGAUCCAGACUAUGCUGGAGCAAUAGAAUUUUUGAAAGAGAUGGCCGGGGAAAUGGGAUUACCAUUACAGUGCAUUGAGGUGCAUCCUGGGAAGACCAUUGUCAUCAUCACAUGGGAAGGAACCUACCCCACCCUCAAGAGCAUCAUUCUCAACUCACACAUAGAUGUUGUUCCAGCCUCUGCAGACCAUUGGAAAUGUGAUCCAUUUGAAGCUAAGAAAAUGGAAAAUGGGGACAUUUAUGCUAGAGGCACCCAGGACAUGAAGUGUGUUGGAAUUCAGUACUUGGAGGCGAUCCGGAGGCUGAUCAAGAAAGGGCAACGAUUGCUUCGCACAGUCCACAUGCUUUUUGUCCCAGAUGAAGAACUUGGAGGAUUCAAGGGAAUGAAGCUGUUUGUUCAGACACCUCAAUUUCAGAAACUCAACAUGGGGUUUGGACUAGAUGAAGGUCUUGCCAACCCAACAGAAAAGUUUACAUUGUUCUAUGGAGAAAGAGCAACAUGGUGGAUCGAUGUGAUUUGCACUGGAGAUCCUGGUCAUGCUUCAAAGUUUGUAGAAGACACAGCUGCAGAAAAGGCACGAAAAGUCAUGAAUGCAUUCCUGGGCUAUAGAGAUGAAGAAAUGAAGAGGUUGAGUACAGAAAAAUUGGGAGAUAUUCAGACUGUGAAUUUGGUGCGGAUGUCGGGAGGUGUGGCUAACAACAUUGUUCCUAUUGAACUGAGACUGCGCUUUGAUCUCCGACUCUCCCCACAGCAAACACCAGAGUUUCUUGAGAACAAGAUCAAGGAAAUGAUAGCAUCUGCAGGGGAAGGUGUGUCCUUUGAGUGGAUCAGGAAAGGAGUCUGCUACUCAACACCUCUGGAUGACAAAAAUGUCUGGUGGCAAACCUUCAAAAAAGUUUGUGAUGAGAAAAAGCUGGAAUUGGAAACUGGGGUGUUUCAAGCAGCGACCGAUAGCUGCUACAUCCGAGCUUUGGGGAUUCCUGUUAUCGGAUUCUCACCCAUCAAUAAUACUCCCAUACUUCUUCAUGAUCACAAUGAAUACCUUAAUGAAGGCGUCUUCUUACGAGGCAUCAACAUCUAUGAAUCUCUCAUUUCAGCCAUAGCCAUUGUGCCUGAGUAGUUGCUGCCUUGUUGCCCAUGCCAGCACUAUCAUCAAACAUUUUAGUAUCAGCACUAUAAAGCUGGAAUUAGAGACACAGGUGUGCCCAGGUGCAACCGAUGCGAGCUAUAUCCGUUCUUUGGGAAUCCCUGUUUUAGGAUUCUCACCCAUGCCUACCACUCCCAUACUUCUUCAUGAUCACAAUGAAUACCUUAAUGAAGGCGUCUUUCUCCGAGGAAUCAACAUCUAUGAAUCCAUCAUUCCAGCUUUAGCUAGUGUUCCUUAGUUUGUUGAUGCUUUGUACCCAUAGCAACAACCCCAGCAAUAUCAUCCAAUACUGCUGUACGAGAGCCUUAAUUGUAUGUGAUACACACAUAUACAAGUUGCUUUUGAUAGUAUAUACUAAUUUUUAAAACUAAUUGCCUUGGCCUUUACCAAGACAAAUUUCUUCAUGGUAUUGAGAUAUCUCGAAUGGCAUCCCUAUAGCUAAUGCCCCAAAACACGAGUAUUGAUAUGAUACAACAGUGAUAUAAUAACGACGUAUUAAAAACUUUUAUCAUUGCAAUUUUUUUUUAAUGGCCUUUUUGUUCUUAACGGAUCGAUUGAGUUACUGAGGAAGGAUACAAGCUUUAGAAUUUAAAGGAAUAGAAUAUCAGGGGUAAUAAAAGCAUGUUUAUUUGUUAUACCCAUUAUUGCAUUUAUAUAUCUGUCUCAUUAAAGUUACACACCAUGAAUUUUUGUCCAUUCUAGUCAUUUUCAAACUUGUGCGAGAUCAAAUUUAAGAUAAAUCCAUUUGGGACAAUUCUGUCCAGAUUGUAGAUAUUUUCAAUACCACAUUAAUCUAAAUUGAAAAGUAUGAAAAUAUUAUCAAGAGACUGAUACUGCUUGAUAACAAAAUAUAUACUAUUUUGCCAACAUUUGUACCCAUAUCUACCUAUUUUGUAGAUUUGUUAAUCAUAUAUCUAUAUUUUGAAAAAUUGCCAAAUGUGUGUAUAUACUUGCCUAUCCUAUUUUUGUCAGGGGAUUUUAAUUUGUGUAUUGGAAAGCAAUAUGUGUUCAAUUUGUUGUUUGACUAUGUUAUUUGAGGUGAAUUACAUACAAAUAAAUGCUGAUACACAUAUAUAAUAAAUGUUUUUUACCAGAUAA